rnacentral:lncRNA from 1 species
CCUGGGAAUCUUGGGGAGUCCCGGGGAGCCCCAGAGAGUCGCCCAGCUGGGACGUGUCGUGACUGGGGAGGCUUUCCCUGCCCUGGCCUGAUGGAAGAAGGUUCUGGAAGGUGGGAUCUGGACGGAUUCGUUCACUUCUGUGGCCUGGCACCUAGAUGGGUGCAGGCAGGCCCCGGUAAACAGGUCGACCCUGGUGGGGGCCCUCUCAGAGCUGAUCCGAAGGUCGCAAGGAGUCGUGAGGAGCAGCGCGCGUGCAGCCGCCCCCGAACCCAUCCCCCCCCCCCGCUUCCUGGCCUGGCUGGGACCCAGCACGGAGUCCCCCUCCUCUGCUCGGCCGAGGGCCUCCAAGGUAACUAUUUGCUCCCGCCCCCUCCACCAAGCCCACUAUCUUAUCAGCUCAAACACUUCAGGGUUCAGGCCAAGAAGCCAAAGUCAACUUUGAAAAAGUCUUUAAAAGGCCAAAACACAAACACCAGGGAGGGCAUUUGGAGGGGGUUGGAGAGGAGGGCGGGGAGGGAAGAGUGCUUGGCUUCCUCCAACAGACUGGAGACGACGCUCGUGACUCUCUGGGCCCGCAGAGGUACGUUGGAGGAGAGUCACUGUUUUCAGUAGCAAACGACUGAAUUCACCCACAUCCAUCGAUUGGGGAAUGGAUAAGUCAUGAUGUGCUCUACAGUCUCUAAAAAGAGCAAAGCCAAUUCCCAUGUAGUGAUAGGGAAAUAGAUUAUAAAGUGGAAAAAAGGAAAAGCAGAAAUACAAAGCUGGUUUGUGAAUAAUCAAUCAGAUCCUUUCUGUGUAAAUAGAAAAGGUGGGGGUAUAUCUCCCUACAUGCCUGUUGAUGUGUAGAAAUUUUCUAGAAUCAUUGCCUGGUGUCUGGAACUGUUAGCUGCUUCUGGGUCAGGAGUCAGGGGCAGACAGGUUUCUCAUUAUCCUCAUGGUACCUUCCAAAUGACUUCAUGUCAUGUUAAAGUAUUAUUCUAGAAAUAAAUAAGCUAAAUAAGAACA